UCUGCUUGAAGUCACCGUAGAUGAUUCUGCUGGGGAAGCCCUUUCUGCAGAUUCUGAUGCCUUCCAGCACACCGUUACAUCUCAGCUGGUGGAUGACCAAGAAGUUCUCCAUGAGACCUGCACAUUGCAAAGGAAUCAGGCAACGGACAAAAUGAGGGUGAGUGCUCCUCAAGUUGGUCAUCAGUUUGCCCAAGUUCUCCUGUGGAUCAGCAGGAUAAUUGUUUGACCUUUGGUCACCAUCUCAUUUCCGACCUUGACUCUUGGGUAGCACAGAGCUUUCAGCAUGUCAGCUGAGUUCAGGCCCAUGAGCUCCAGUCAGCUUGAAGAUGCCCAAUUUCUCAUCAGCAUUGAACCCCAAGAUAUCAAUUGCUGCCUGCAUUGUAAAUGAAGCAAAGCUAUUG